rnacentral:rRNA from 1 species
UACAGAGGGGGCAAGCGUUGUUCGGAAUUACUGGGCGUAAAGGGCGCGUAGGCGGCCGCCUAAGUCAGACGUGAAAUCCCUCGGCUCAACCGGGGAACUGCGUCUGAUACUGGGUGGCUUGAAUCCGGGGGAGGGAUGCGGAAUUCCAGGUGUAGCGGUGAAAUGCGUAGAUAUCUGGAGGAACACCGGUGGCGAAGGCGGCAUCCUGGACCGGCAUUGACGCUGAGGCGCGAAAGCCAGGGGAGCAAAGCGGG